UGGGGAAUCUUCCGCAAUGGACGAAAGUCUGACGGAGCAACGCCGCGUGAGUGAAGACGGCCUUCGGGUUGUAAAGCUCUGUGAUCCGGGACGAAAGAGCCUGAGGUAAAUAGCCUAAGGAAGUGACGGUACCGGAAAAGCAAGCCACGGCUAACUACGUGCCAGCAGCCGCGGUAAUACGUAGGUGGCAAGCGUUGUCCGGAAUUAUUGGGCGUAAAGCGCGCGCAGGCGGCUUACUAAGUCCAUCUUAAAAGUGCGGGGCUUAACCCCGUGAUGGGAUGGAAACUGGAAAGCUGGAGUAUCGGAGAGGAAAGUGGAAUUCCUAGUGUAGCGGUGAAAUGCGUAGGGAUUAGGAAGAACACCGGUGGCGAAGGCGACUUUCUGGACGAAAACUGACGCUGAGGCGCGAAAGCGUGGGGAGCAAACAGG
rnacentral:rRNA from 1 species